rnacentral:rRNA from 1 species
UACGUAGGUGGCAAGCGUUGUCCGGAAUUACUGGGUGUAAAGGGCGUGUAGGCGGGAAGGCAAGUCAGAUGUGAAAUCCCAGGGCUUAACUCUGGAGCUGCAUCUGAAACUGUUUUUCUUGAGUACUGGAGAGGAAAGUGGAAUUCCUAGUGUAGCGGUGAAAUGCGUAGAGAUUAGGAGGAACACCAGUGGCGAAGGCGGCUUUCUGGACAGUAACUGACGCUGAGGCGCGAAAGCGUGGGGAGCAAACAGGAUUAGAUACCCUGGUA